GCACCAGCUUCAGUCUCUGAAUGGUUUAAUGGCUGUGACAAACCCACAACACCUGAAGAACAGAGGAAACAACUUUGGAUUGGGGGAGAGUCCUGACUGAAAGGAAUUCAACCAGUAAGACUGCUGUAACUUGUGUUCCUGGGCUCUCAGGCUUUGUGUCCCGAAAUGGAUUGAGACUUCUAGAGUCCAGAAAAUCAGAAAGAGAUGCAUGAGGAAUGAGUCUUCUAACCCCUCUUCCUGGGGAACAGGUCUCCAAGGCCCUCUGGUUGAAUCUUACAAAUAAAAUGAUUAAUCUGGCUGCAUUCCCAACAUCAUUGAAAAGAUGGCUAACAAGAAACUCUGGGGGUUAUCUGAAGCACUCAGAUUUCCCAGACCCAUGUAUUGUAUGGAGACUACAUUGGUUGUGAUCUCCUACUAAUGGACAAUGAGCAGGUUUCUGUGACCUCCAGACUGAAAUGUUACAUGGGGCAACCCUAGAAGGCCAUGCAGAAGGAAUAGCUGGAGGAGAAUGUAGUUGCCUCUAUUUGAUUUGCGACCUAGCUACACAAGAAACCACCUAUCUCUGCAU